GAGGGCCUGGUCGACGGUGUCGACCACGUUUGCAAGGCGGGGGUUAGGGGUUCGAUUCCCCUCGUCUCCACC
rnacentral:tRNA from 1 species